UGUAUGUUCCAUAUUGACGCGCUUUUAUGAUGACGAUAAUAACAUCAACGGCAAAAUUUGAGACAACAGUAGAUCAGCCGGGAAGGAUAGGAUACAGAAAUACAGCAGAGAAAAUAUCGGUUUACCAGCCACUUGCAGAAAUUCUUAAAGUUACAGAAAGAGACGAUUGUUACGACAAGUCAGAGAUGGCGGAUCCUUUUUGAAUCAUCUACGGAUUGCUAUUGUUCAUGUAUCUAAAAAUGGAUCCCACCAGAACACAAAGACUAAGUCUAUGAGGAAAAUAAAGUUUUAGAUCAACGACUAAAAUUUGUCAUGAACAGAUAAAAUAUGAGAUAGAGAUAGCACUGGUAUGAAAGGUGACAGUAGAACAUUGAAAUAAUUUGAAAGAAACAAGUUGGCAAAGAUAUAUAUCACAUGCAUAGGAAGAGCAAUGGAAAAUAACAUUGAAGCAGAAUUAUGAAACAGUUAUUAAAAAAAACAUUAAAUUUAGAGAGAGA